rnacentral:pre_miRNA from 1 species
UUUGUACUCCCUCCGUCUCAAAAUUUUUGUCUUAGAUUUUUCUAAAUACGGAUGUAUCAAGUUAUGUUUUAGUAUUAGAUACAUCCGUAUCUAGGCAAAUUUAAGACAAGAAUUUUGGGACAAAGGGAGUAGUUU